GACAGAGACAGAGAGAGAGAAUAUAUGAGAAAGUGAAGAAGAGAAAAUGGGAGAGGGAGAGAAAACAUACAAUUAUGUAUGUCUGGAGCACACCAUAUUAAAGGAGGGAGUGGCAGAAAACGUGAGGUGGGAAUCAAAUCAUGCUGGGCUUUUUGGCCAGCAAACUUGGAAAUCAUGUCUUAGAGAUCAAGGAGCCAAGAGAUGAGACAAGCCUGGGUUCCUAGGUGAUAGGGUGUGGCUGUGUCCCCACCCAAAUCUCGUCUUGAAUUGUAGCUCCCAUAAUCCCCACAUGUUGUGGAGGGACCCUGUGGAAGAUUGUGCCUGCAGCCUGGCCUGUUGCCCACAGCGGUCUACCUGCCACACUGGGAAAGAUCGAGCAGAGACAGAGAAGAAAAGGAGGCUCCAUUUUUCAGGCUGCUCUCCCGCAGGCUCAUGUUUUGUGUUCAUGCCAGGCAGAGAACACAAAAUGUUCCAAUAAAUAAGUAUCAAAGGUUAGUGGUGAAAAUGAAGGAGGAGGAGGCAUUGCGUGAAAAACUAAACAUGCAAAAUAUUACACACAAAGAGAACCAAAAUGCAGGUUCACUGGAAAUGAUAGACAAUAUGUUAAAACAAGAGGAGAGAAGAGAGCUGAAAUAAUCAAAUGGAAACACACAAUUUAGGGCUAAGAUCUUGUUGUGUUCAGCCACAAAUGAUGGCCAGCAGUGAGGAAUCUGUGUGUUCUCCACACUCUUCGCUCCUGGGAAGUCAACUCACAUGGACCAUGAUAUCAAUAUCUGCUCCUUCCCCUAAUAUCUGUUUGACCUUGGGUCAGUUACUUAAACUUCCUAAGCCUUAGUUUCUUUGUCUGGAAAAUAGGGAUAGUUAUACCUACCACACAACCACUUUGUAAUGAAUAUGUUGGAAAUUAUAUGCAAAUUGGCUUCCGUUGGUGUUUGGAACAUAGUAGGUUUUUAACUGGAAUAUAAUAGCUACCAUUAUCAGUAUCAUCAUAUUAAUUUAUAUUUCCAUCUUCAGCCCUUAACCCAGGAUCUUCAGUAAAUGUUGAAUUCUCAAAUUUGUUAAAUUCACUUGUCUAUACUAAUAUUUUACUCUAGGUUUCUUAGAAUAUUCUAGAUAAUAUUAUUAUGUAGAAUAUGUUAUGUAAGCUUCAUCUUAUCUGUAAAUAUAGUUUUACUUUUUCCUUUCUAAUUUUUAUGUCGAUUACUUCUUUUUCUUGGCUUAUUGAAUUGGCUAGGAUUCCCGUACAGUGUUGAAUACGUGCAGCAAGACUGCACAUCUUGCCUUGUUCCUGGUCCCACAGAGAGAAUAUCCAGUACUUCACAAUAAGUAUGUGUUAAUUGUAGAUUUUAUUAGAUUGAGGAAGUUCCCUUUCCUUUCAAGUCAGUCUUUUUAUUUUAAACAUGUAUUGAAGUUUUGUCAAAUGUCUUCAUCUAUUGGAAUAAUUAUACAUAUCUCUUUUUUAUUCUGUUAAUAUUACAUUUCAAUCUUCUGUCUACCUAAAAUCCCUAGAAUAAUCUCCAUUUGGCUAUGAUGUGUUGUGCUUUUAUAUAUUACUGAAUUCUAUAUGCCAAUAUUAUUAAAAUUUUCUGUCUUUAUGAGAAA
ensembl:lncRNA CCDC26 CCDC26 long non-coding RNA